rnacentral:lncRNA from 1 species
CUUUCUUGUGUCAGCUAACUGCACUUGCAGGCUCCAAGGAGACCUUACAACUGGAUGGGAACACUGCUUUUGUUGUGAUGCCUAGGGAUAGAGCUGCCACGUUGCUAUCCUGCAAGUGUUGUGCUGCAAACCCAGCUUCUGCGUGUCCUCAUAUGCAUUUCCUUCCAGUUUUAGGUACAGAUGCAGAUAUUUUUGGGGAGUUUUCUUCAAGGCCUCAUAUAUCAUCUGUCCUGUAAAUGAUUGCAGUGGCACCAGCUCCUGUCCUUGGCUGUGCUUCUUUGUCAAGCACAGCAGCGAUAGCAAUCACUUCAGGUUUUGCAAACCUGCAGAUCACUAUUGCCAAUCUUUGUAUGAACGAGAGCUAAUUAAUCUUCACCACAUCUUUGUGAAGAAUGACAGCAGAACGUGGCAGAUGAAAAUGAUGGAAGCAAGGCUCAUUAGGAUUCCAUGUCCUUUGAAUGGGAAGGACAUUACCGGCAAGAACAAUUCUUCACACUUUUGACCAAACAAGCUACAUUUCCCCAAAUCAGGCUUUCACCUCAAGCAAAUGCUACUCAACAGCCCUCCAGUAAAUGGUCUUACUCCUUAAAGCUUCAAGGCUAAACUGCCUGCUGAGCAGAAAAAACCAAUGGGUUCAGUGUGGUGCAGGGCACCACAGACUGGGCGAGUCAGUGACACCACACAUGGAAGCCCUUCUGCAAAACCCAUUGGGAGACAAUGAACCAUGAGUAGGUGUUUGGUUAAUCUCUUACCACUUGGGUGCCAGCAGUGGUACAGCAGGGUUCAGUGGGCAUGUAGGGCAAAAAUCCAACCCCCCCCCAGUCUUCUCAAAGUAAUCAGAAUUUGAAAAAAGAAUUUUGUCAUAGUAUUAAAGCAAGGAACACACAAUGAAUGUCGGCAUUUACCUCAUUGGCAAGAAGUCCAGGGAGAGCAGGAUAUAGUUUCAGUUAUGAUGAGCUCACCUUGUUUUGUCCCCUUUCCAAAGAAGAGUGUGGCACCCUGGAAGAGCAGUAAAGGAAGGGGUCCAGGUGAUGCAUGACUCUGUUUUGCACAUGCAGAAGAUUUUAUGCAAUCUCAAUUUUAUGAUUCAAUAUUUAUGAAGUCAAACUUUCUGGUGAUAAUGUGAGAGUGCACUAGUACAUUUAUUUGAGUCAGAAAUGAGAAAUGCUCAAAACCUUAACUUGAACAGCUAGUUCUGGUUGGACUAUUUGUAGUGAAGAAUCAAUUUGUUGAAUUUAGUCUUUUUGCCUGCUUGUAAAUUGUCCUGAAACAGAUCACAACUUCCAAUAAUACAUCCACAGUUCAAAAUUAUCUAAAAAGCAAUGCAAACCUAUUCCAGACUGAGUUGCCGGUAAGCUAUUCAUUUACUACUUCAAGUAUUUGAUAUUAAAUAUUGAACUGUUUUUCCUUGG